AGCGUACACGGUGGAUGCCCUGGCAGUCAGAGGCGAUGAAGGACGUGCUAAUCUGCGAUAAGCGUCGGUAAGGUGAUAUGAACCGUUAUAACCGGCGAUUUCCGAAUGGGGAAACCCAGUGUGUUUCGACACACUAUCAUUAACUGAAUCCAUAGGUUAAUGAGGCGAACCGGGGGAACUGAAACAUCUAAGUACCCCGAGGAAAAGAAAUCAACCGAGAUUCCCCCAGUAGCGGCGAGCGAACGGGGAGCAGCCCAGAGCCUGAAUCAGUGUGUGUGUUAGUGGAAGCGUCUGGAAAGGCGCGCGAUACAGGGUGACAGCCCCGUACACAAAAAUGCACAUGCUGUGAGCUCGAUGAGUAGGGCGGGACACGUGGUAUCCUGUCUGAAUAUGGGGGGACCAUCCUCCAAGGCUAAAUACUCCUGACUGACCGAUAGUGAACCAGUACCGUGAGGGAAAGGCGAAAAGAACCCCGGCGAGGGGAGUGAAAAAGAACCUGAAACCGUGUACGUACAAGCAGUGGGAGCACGCUUAGGCGUGUGACUGCGUACCUUUUGUAUAAUGGGUCAGCGACUUAUAUUCUGUAGCAAGGUUAACCGAAUAGGGGAGCCGAAGGGAAACCGAGUCUUAACUGGGCGUUAAGUUGCAGGGUAUAGACCCGAAACCCGGUGAUCUAGCCAUGGGCAGGUUGAAGGUUGGGUAACACUAACUGGAGGACCGAACCGACUAAUGUUGAAAAAUUAGCGGAUGACUUGUGGCUGGGGGUGAAAGGCCAAUCAAACCGGGAGAUAGCUGGUUCUCCCCGAAAGCUAUUUAGGUAGCGCCUCGUGAAUUCAUCUCCGGGGGUAGAGCACUGUUUCGGCAAGGGGGUCAUCCCGACUUACCAACCCGAUGCAAACUGCGAAUACCGGAGAAUGUUAUCACGGGAGACACACGGCGGGUGCUAACGUCCGUCGUGAAGAGGGAAACAACCCAGACCGCCAGCUAAGGUCCCAAAGUCAUGGUUAAGUGGGAAACGAUGUGGGAAGGCCCAGACAGCCAGGAUGUUGGCUUAGAAGCAGCCAUCAUUUAAAGAAAGCGUAAUAGCUCACUGGUCGAGUCGGCCUGCGCGGAAGAUGUAACGGGGCUAAACCAUGCACCGAAGCUGCGGCAGCGACACUAUGUGUUGUUGGGUAGGGGAGCGUUCUGUAAGCCUGUGAAGGUGUACUGUGAGGUAUGCUGGAGGUAUCAGAAGUGCGAAUGCUGACAUAAGUAACGAUAAAGCGGGUGAAAAGCCCGCUCGCCGGAAGACCAAGGGUUCCUGUCCAACGUUAAUCGGGGCAGGGUGAGUCGACCCCUAAGGCGAGGCCGAAAGGCGUAGUCGAUGGGAAACAGGUUAAUAUUCCUGUACUUGGUGUUACUGCGAAGGGGGGACGGAGAAGGCUAUGUUGGCCGGGCGACGGUUGUCCCGGUUUAAGCGUGUAGGCUGGUUUUCCAGGCAAAUCCGGAAAAUCAAGGCUGAGGCGUGAUGACGAGGCACUACGGUGCUGAAGCAACAAAUGCCCUGCUUCCAGGAAAAGCCUCUAAGCAUCAGGUAACAUCAAAUCGUACCCCAAACCGACACAGGUGGUCAGGUAGAGAAUACCAAGGCGCUUGAGAGAACUCGGGUGAAGGAACUAGGCAAAAUGGUGCCGUAACUUCGGGAGAAGGCACGCUGAUAUGUAGGUGAAGUCCCUCGCGGAUGGAGCUGAAAUCAGUCGAAGAUACCAGCUGGCUGCAACUGUUUAUUAAAAACACAGCACUGUGCAAACACGAAAGUGGACGUAUACGGUGUGACGCCUGCCCGGUGCCGGAAGGUUAAUUGAUGGGGUCAGCGCAAGCGAAGCUCUUGAUCGAAGCCCCGGUAAACGGCGGCCGUAACUAUAACGGUCCUAAGGUAGCGAAAUUCCUUGUCGGGUAAGUUCCGACCUGCACGAAUGGCGUAAUGAUGGCCAGGCUGUCUCCACCCGAGACUCAGUGAAAUUGAACUCGCUGUGAAGAUGCAGUGUACCCGCGGCAAGACGGAAAGACCCCGUGAACCUUUACUAUAGCUUGACACUGAACAUUGAGCCUUGAUGUGUAGGAUAGGUGGGAGGCUUUGAAGUGUGGACGCCAGUCUGCAUGGAGCCGACCUUGAAAUACCACCCUUUAAUGUUUGAUGUUCUAACGUUGACCCGUGAUCCGGGUUGCGGACAGUGUCUGGUGGGUAGUUUGACUGGGGCGGUCUCCUCCUAAAGAGUAACGGAGGAGCACGAAGGUUGGCUAAUCCUGGUCGGACAUCAGGAGGUUAGUGCAAUGGCAUAAGCCAGCUUGACUGCGAGCGUGACGGCGCGAGCAGGUGCGAAAGCAGGUCAUAGUGAUCCGGUGGUUCUGAAUGGAAGGGCCAUCGCUCAACGGAUAAAAGGUACUCCGGGGAUAACAGGCUGAUACCGCCCAAGAGUUCAUAUCGACGGCGGUGUUUGGCACCUCGAUGUCGGCUCAUCACAUCCUGGGGCUGAAGUAGGUCCCAAGGGUAUGGCUGUUCGCCAUUUAAAGUGGUACGCGAGCUGGGUUUAGAACGUCGUGAGACAGUUCGGUCCCUAUCUGCCGUGGGCGCUGGAGA
rnacentral:rRNA from 1 species